rnacentral:rRNA from 1 species
UACGUAGGGUCCAAGCGUUGUUCGGAUUUACUGGGCGUAAAGGGCGCGUAGGCGGCAAUUCAAGUCAUCUGUGAAAUCUCCGGGCUUAACUCGGAACGGUCAGGUGAAACUGCUUUGCUAGAGUGCGGAAGGGGCAAUCGGAAUUCUCGGUGUAGCGGUGAAAUGCGUAGAUAUCGAGAGGAACACCUGAGGUGAAGACGGGUUGCUGGGCCGACACUGACGCUGAAGCGCGAAAGCCAGGGGAGCAAACGGG